rnacentral:lncRNA from 1 species
CUGUCUUUAAAAUUGCUUAUUAUUAUUAUUAUUAUUAUUAUUAUUAUUAUUAUUAUUAAUUCUUAAAAUCUCAUGUGUAGGGGGCUUUUGCCUAUGUGUGUGCCUGUGCUCUUCCUGGAUGCCUGGUAUCUGAGGAGUCUAGAAGAGUGCAUCAGUUUCCCUGGAACUGAAGCUACAGACGGUUGUGAACCUCCAUAGUGGGAGCUGGACCUAUAUUGGACUGCAAAAUGGAAGCCAUGUGUUAAAAGUGAGAGCAUAGUCAAACAUCGUUGAGUUGGUGCCACCUGUCUCAACACAUAUCUAAAGUAAUACCAGACCUGAACAUUUAACAGAAAAGUGCUCUGACUUCCUGGCCUAAAAACAAAUGUGCUUUUUGCAAGUGGCUAUUAGAAUACCAGGUCCUCCAGCCAAUAGCAACUUACCAGAAAUCUUCAAUUUGGGGGCUGGGUGUUAAGAAUACAAAAUAAAUAUAUUUGCUUUCCUAGUUGAGGUUGCUCAUUGACUAGUUUUGGGUGGAACCUUUCUGGGUCACAAGGGACCUUCUUUGUAAGCUUCAAUGAGAGUGCCUUAACUUAAAGAUGGAAUGAUCUCAAGUUCUCCCAUUAGUAACUAAGGUCUAGUAAUGUUUUCGUGCCAACUCAUUAGAAUUACAAAUUGAAUGCCAAAUACAGUUCAUGGCUUAGAGAAUUCUCUCAGAAAUUCUUUGAUCCCAGGAA